rnacentral:rRNA from 1 species
CCUACGGGAGGCAGCAGUGGGGAAUAUUGGACAAUGGGGGCAACCCUGAUCCAGCGAUGCCGCGUGUGUGAAGAAGGCUUUCGGGUUGUAAAGCACUUUCAGUAGUGAAGAAUGACGCAACGGUUAAUACCCGUAGCGAGUGACGUUAACUACAGAAGAAGCACCGGCUAACUCCGUGCCAGCAGCCGCGGUAAU